UACGUAGGGGGCAAGCGUUGUCCGGAUUUAUUGGGCGUAAAGAGCGUGUAGGCGGCCUGACAGGUCUGCUGUGAAAACUCGAGGCUCAACCUCGAGAUGUCGGCGGAAACCGUCUGGCUAGAGUCCGGAAGAGGAGAGUGGAAUUCCUGGUGUAGCGGUGAAAUGCGCAGAUAUCAGGAAGAACACCUAUGGCGAAGGAAGCUCUCUGGGACGGUACUGACGCUGAGACGCGAAAGCGUGGGGAGCGAACAGG
rnacentral:rRNA from 1 species